GACGAACGCUGGCGGCGUGCCUAAUACAUGCAAGUCGAACGAGAGCGACCGGUGCUUGCACUGGUCAAUCUAGUGGCGAACGGGUGAGUAACACGUGGGUAACCUGCCCAUCAGAGGGGGAUAACAUCCGGAAACGGAUGCUAAAACCGCAUAGGUCUUCGAACCGCAUGGUUUGAAGAGGAAAAGCGGCGCAAGCUUCUGCUGAUGGAUGGACCCGCGGUGCAUUAGCUAGUUGGUGAGGUAACGGCUCACCAAGGCCGUGAUGCAUAGCCGACCUGAGAGGGUGAUCGGCCACAUUGGGACUGAGACACGGCCCAAACUCCUACGGGAGGCAGCAGUAGGGAAUCUUCCGCAAUGGACGCAAGUCUGACGGAGCAACGCCGCGUGAGUGAAGAAGGUGUUCGGAUCGUAAAACUCUGUUGUUAGAGAAGAACAAGUGCUAGAGUAACUGUUAGCGCCUUGACGGUAACUAACCAGAAAGCAACGGCUAACUACGUG
rnacentral:rRNA from 1 species